UCAUAUGCAGUGGCGUUGCUAGGCCCUUUUAAGGGGAGCUAAAGCCCCCCUAAAGUACUAUUUUAGCCCCCCUUAAAUAUUGUGAGUAAUAAUGUAAUCUGUACAAGAAUUCGAGAUCGCUUUAUAUUCCCCUUUAAAACUCUUAUUAUGAAAACGUCGUUAGGCUGCGUUAUUUAGCGCAUUCUUCAGUUCACACAGUAGCACAUUGGAGUUAACAUCAAUAGCAGAGUAACGUUACAAGUCCCAGUGGAUCAAUUAUCCGCAGAAACUGAUCUUCCAGCAUCUGAAGAGAAGCCUUCACAUGAUGAUUCUGUUGGACCUGAAAAUAUUGAGGGGUAUGGAGCCGUGCAGGACCUGGCAGAGUUUUUGGUUAGCCUUAGAGAACACCAUCUGGCCUUGACUGGAGAAGAGUGCAUCAAGAUCAUCACCCUAUGGCAGGCAUUAGAGGAGUAUGAUAACAGGAAGACCAUUUAUUUACCACGUCACCAAACCACCCUUAAGCAAAUACAGGUUCUUGAUUGUCUAAAAGGUUUUGUUUGAAAAUAUAUAUAAUAUAACUAAAACUGGCUGAAAUAUCGUCUCCAGCUUUGUUUAUUUAGUAAGAUUAAUAGUAAAAUUAAUUUAAAAAAAAUCCCCUGUAGCUCAGUGGUAAAAGCAUUGCGUCAAUCCCAGGGGAUUGCACAAGCCUAUGUAUAGGACAAUGAAAUGUAAGUUGCUUUGGAUAAAAGCGUCUGCCAAAUGCGUUAAUGUAAAAAUAAAAAGCUUUCCCGUUU